GCGGGCGUAGCUCAGUGGUAGAGCAGCGGUCUCCAAAGCCGCCUACGGAGGUUCGAUCCCUCCCGUCCGUG
rnacentral:tRNA from 1 species